rnacentral:ncRNA from 1 species
CCCACUUAAUUUAAGCAUGUUAGUCAGCGGAGGAAAAAAAAAACUAAUCAGGAUUCCCAAAGUAAUGGCGACUGAACGGGGAAGAGUCCAGCACUGAAUUCCCGUCCUGCGGUGGGGCAAAGGAAAUGUGGCGUAUAGAAGACCCAAUCCCUGGUGCGGCUCUCGGGUAUUCGAGUCCUUCUGAUCAAGACACAGCCUGUGGGCAGUGUGAGGCCGGUAGUAGCCCCAGCAUACUGGGACCGGGUCUUCUUGGAGUCGGGUUGCUUGGGAAUGUAGCCCAAAGUAGGUGGUAACCUCCAUCUACAGCUAAUUACUGUCACGAGACCGUUAGUCAACAAGUACCACAAGGGAAAGUUGAAAAGAACUUUGAAGAUAGAGUUCAAGAGUGUGUGAAACCAUUAAGAGGUAAACGGGUGGGAUCCGCGCAGUCUGCCUGGAGGAUUAAACCUGGUGGGUUUGGUAAGCUG